rnacentral:tRNA from 2 species
CGGGCAGUGGCGCAGGUUGGUAGCGCGCUUCGUUCGGGACGAAGAGGUCGUGGGUUCAAAUCCCGCCUGCCCGA